rnacentral:rRNA from 1 species
UACGUAGGGUGCGAGCGUUGUCCGGAAUUAUUGGGCGUAAAGAGCUUGUAGGCGGUCUGUCGCGUCUGCUGUGAAAAUCCGGGGCUCAACCCCGGACUUGCAGUGGGUACGGGCAGACUAGAGUGUGGUAGGGGAGACUGGAAUUCCUGGUGUAGCGGUGAAAUGCGCAGAUAUCAGGAGGAACACCGGUGGCGAAGGCGGUUCUCUGGGCAUGUCCUGACGCUGAGGAGCGAAAGGGUGGGGAGCGAACAGG